rnacentral:rRNA from 1 species
GACGAACGCUGGCGGCGUGCCUAAUACAUGCAAGUCGAACGCAGUGGGGACGGGUGAGUAACACGUGGGUAACCUCCCAUCAGAGGGGAUAACACUUGGAAACAGGUGCUAAACCGAUAUUGAUGGAUGGACCCGCGGUGCAUUAGCUAUUGGGUGAGGUAACGGCUCACCAAGGCCACGAUGCAUAGCCGGCCGAAGAGGUUGAUCGUCCACACUGGGACUUAGACGCGGCCCAGACUCCUACGGGAGGCAGCAUUAGGGAAUCUUCGGCAAUGGGCGAAAGCCUGAUCCAGCCAUGCCGCGUUUGUGAAGAAGGUCUUCGGAUUGUAAAGCACUUUAAGUUGGGAGGCGUUACCAACAGAAUAAGCACCGGCUAACUUCGUGCCAGCAGCCGCGGUAAUUC